GGCGCCGGGUCGGGGCGGGG
rnacentral:miRNA from 1 species